rnacentral:rRNA from 1 species
UACGAAGGGGGCUAGCGUUGCUCGGAAUUACUGGGCGUAAAGCGCACGUAGGCGGUCUUUUAAGUCGGGGGUGAAAUCCUGGAGCUCAACUCCAGAACUGCCUUCGAUACUGGAAGACUUGAGUCCGGGAGAGGUGAGUGGAACUGCGAGUGUAGAGGUGAAAUUCGUAGAUAUUCGCAAGAACACCAGUGGCGAAGGCGGCUCACUGGCCCGGUACUGACGCUGAGGUGCGAAAGCGUGGGGGAGCAAACAGG